GCAAACCUUAUCUUACUGCUUUUCUACACUGUCACUGGGCAAGCUGAUAACUGAAAGAACAGGAAAGGAGUCUACUAGAUUGUUCAUCAUUCACACCUAUUUGGGAACCUCACCACAAGGGCUGAAGGGAAUCAACUUGGAUAGGUGGAAGAAGAACAUAAAACCUGACAUUCACUUGCCUGGAUAAGACACACUUCACGUGAUGCCUGGAGAUUUAAAAGCACUGUGAAGAGAGAUUGGGCUUGCUUAGGAUUUAAUGAA
rnacentral:lncRNA from 1 species